rnacentral:rRNA from 1 species
AUACGGAGGGUCCGAGCGUUAUCCGGAAUCAUUGGGUUUAAAGGGUCCGCAGGCGGUCAAUUAAGUCAGAGGUGAAAUCCCAUUGCUCAACAAUGGAACUGCCUUUGAUACUGGUUGACUUGAGUUAUACGGAAGUAGGUAGAAUGUGUAGUGUAGCGGUGAAAUGCAUAGAGAUUACACAGAAUACCGAUUGCGAAGGCAGUCUACUACGUAUAUACUGACGCUGAGGGACGAAAGCGUGGGGAGCGAACAGGAUUAGAAACCCGGGUAGUCC